GACGAACGCUGGCGGCGUGCUUAACACGCAAGUCGAACGGAAAGGCCCUGCUUUUGUGGGGUGCUCGAGUGGCGAACGGGUGAGUAACACGUGAGUAACCUGCCCUUGACUUUGGGAUAACUUCAGGAAACUGGGGCUAAUACCGGAUAGGAGCUCCUGCUGCAUGGUGGGGGUUGGAAAGUUUCGGCGGUUGGGGAUGGACUCGCGGCUUAUCAGCUUGUUGGUGGGGUAGUGGCUUACCAAGGCUUUGACGGGUAGCCGGCCUGAGAGGGUGACCGGCCACAUUGGGACUGAGAUACGGCCCAGACUCCUACGGGAGGCAGCAGUGGGGAAUAUUGCACAAUGGGCGGAAGCCUGAUGCAGCAACGCCGCGUGCGGGAUGACGGCCUUCGGGUUGUAAACCGCUUUCGCCUGUGACGAAGCGUGAGUGACGGUAAUGGGUAAAGAAGCACCGGCUAACUACGUG
rnacentral:rRNA from 1 species